rnacentral:rRNA from 1 species
AUUGAACGCUGGCGGAAUGCUUUACACAUGCAAGUCGAGCGGCAGCACGGGGACAACCCUGGUGGCGAGCGGCGAACGGGUGAGUAAUACAUCGGAACAUGCCCAGUCGUGGGGGAUAACACUUCGAAAGAAGUGCUAAUACCGCAUACGUCCUGAGGGAGAAAGCGGGGGAUCUUCGGACCUCGCGCGAUUGGAGUGGCCGAUGUCAGAUUAGCUAGUUGGUGGGGUAAAGGCCUACCAAGGCAACGAGCUGUAGCUGGUCUGAGAGGAUGAUCAGCCACACUGGGACUGAGACACGGCCCAGACUCCUACGGGAGGCAGCAGUGGGGAAUUUUGGACAAUGGGGGCAACCCUGAUCCAGCCAUUCCGCGUGAGUGAAGAAGGCCUUCGGGUUGUAAAGCUCUUUCGGCAGGAACGAAACGGCGAGCUCUAACAUAGCUUGCUAAUGACGGUACCUGAAGAAGAAGCACCGGCUAACUACGUGCCAGCCGCCGCAGUAAAAC